GGUUAAGCGACUAAGCGUACACGGUGGAUGCCCUGGCAGUCAGAGGCGAUGAAGGGCGUGCUAAUCUGCGAUAAGCGCCGGUAAGGUGAUAUGAACCGUUAUAACCGGCGAUACCCGAAUGGGGAAACCCAGUGUGACUCGUCACACUAUCAUUAACUGAAUCCAUAGGUUAAUGAGGCGAACCGGGGGAACUGAAACAUCUAAGUACCCCGAGGAAAAGAAAUCAACCGAGAUUCCCCCAGUAGCGGCGAGCGAACGGGGAGGAGCCCAGAGCCUGAAUCAGCAUGUGUGUUAGUGGAAGCGUCUGGAAAGGCGCGCGAUACAGGGUGACAGCCCCGUACACAAAAGCGCAUGUGCUGUGAGCUCGAUGAGUAGGGCGGGACACGUGGUAUCCUGUCUGAAUAUGGGGAAAUUCAUCCUCCAAGGCUAAAUACUCCUGACUGACCGAUAGUGAACCAGUACCGUGAGGGAAAGGCGAAAAGAACCCCGGCGAGGGGAGUGAAAAAGAACCUGAAACCGUGUACGUACAAGCAGUGGGAGCACAGGUUUACCUGUGUGACUGCGUACCUUUGUAUAAUGGGUCAGCGACUUAUAUUCUGUAGCAAGGUUAACCGAAUAGGGGAGCCGGAGGGAAACCGAGUCUUAACCGGGCGUUAAGUUGCAGGGUAUAGACCCGAAACCCGGUGAUCUAGCCAUGGGCAGGUUGAAGGUUGGGUAACACUAACUGGAGGACCGAACCGACUAAUGUUGAAAAAUUAGCGGAUGACCUGUGGCUGGGGGUGAAAGGCCAAUCAAACCGGGAGAUAGCUGGUUCUCCCCGAAAGCUAUUUAGGUAGCGCCUCGUGAAUUCAUCUCCGGGGGUAGAGCACUGUUUCGGCUAGGGGGCCAUCCCGGCUUACCAACCCGAUGCAAACUGCGAAUACCGGAGAAUGUUAUCACGGGAGACACACGGCGGGUGCUAACGUCCGUCGUGAAGAGGGAAACAACCCAGACCGCCAGCUAAGGUCCCAAAGUCAUGGUUAAGUGGGAAACGAUGUGGGAAGGCCCAGACAGCCAGGAUGUUGGCUUAGAAGCAGCCAUCAUUUAAAGAAAGCGUAAUAGCUCACUGGUCGAGUCGGCCUGCGCGGAAGAUGUAACGGGGCUAAACCAUGCACCGAAGCUGCGGCAGCGAACGUAUCACUUAAAGCGAUUCAGCGGGUUACGAUUGACGGAGCGAAGCGACGUCAAAGCGUAUACAAAGUCGAGUCGGUUUAAGGAUACGUUCGUUGGGUAGGGGAGCGUUCUGUAAGCCUGUGAAGGUGUGUCGUGAGGCAUGCUGGAGGUAUCAGAAGUGCGAAUGCUGACAUAAGUAACGAUAAAGCGGGUGAAAAGCCCGCUCGCCGGAAGACCAAGGGUUCCUGUCCAACGUUAAUCGGGGCAGGGUGAGUCGACCCCUAAGGCGAGGCCGAAAGGCGUAGUCGAUGGGAAACGGGUUAAUAUUCCCGUACUUGGUGUUACUGCGAAGGGGGGACGGAGAAGGCUAUGUUGGCCGGGCGACGGUUGUCCCGGUUUAAGCGUGUAGGCUGGUUUUCCAGGCAAAUCCGGAAAAUCAAGGCUGAGGCGUGAUGACGAGGCACUACGGUGCUGAAGCAACAAAUGCCCUGCUUCCAGGAAAAGCCUCUAAGCAUCAGGUAACAUCAAAUCGUACCCCAAACCGACACAGGUGGUCAGGUAGAGAAUACCAAGGCGCUUGAGAGAACUCGGGUGAAGGAACUAGGCAAAAUGGUGCCGUAACUUCGGGAGAAGGCACGCUGACACGUAGGUGAAGUGAUUUACUCAUGGAGCUGAAGUCAGUCGAAGAUACCAGCUGGCUGCAACUGUUUAUUAAAAACACAGCACUGUGCAAACACGAAAGUGGACGUAUACGGUGUGACGCCUGCCCGGUGCCGGAAGGUUAAUUGAUGGGGUCAGCGCAAGCGAAGCUCCUGAUCGAAGCCCCGGUAAACGGCGGCCGUAACUAUAACGGUCCUAAGGUAGCGAAAUUCCUUGUCGGGUAAGUUCCGACCUGCACGAAUGGCGUAAUGAUGGCCAGGCUGUCUCCACCCGAGACUCAGUGAAAUUGAACUCGCUGUGAAGAUGCAGUGUACCCGCGGCAAGACGGAAAGACCCCGUGAACCUUUACUAUAGCUUGACACUGAACAUUGAGCCUUGAUGUGUAGGAUAGGUGGGAGGCUUUGAAGCGUGGACGCCAGUCUGCGUGGAGCCGACCUUGAAAUACCACCCUUUAAUGUUUGAUGUUCUAACGUGGACCCGUGAUCCGGGUUGCGGACAGUGUCUGGUGGGUAGUUUGACUGGGGCGGUCUCCUCCUAAAGAGUAACGGAGGAGCACGAAGGUUGGCUAAUCCUGGUCGGACAUCAGGAGGUUAGUGCAAUGGCAUAAGCCAGCUUGACUGCGAGCGUGACGGCGCGAGCAGGUGCGAAAGCAGGUCAUAGUGAUCCGGUGGUUCUGAAUGGAAGGGCCAUCGCUCAACGGAUAAAAGGUACUCCGGGGAUAACAGGCUGAUACCGCCCAAGAGUUCAUAUCGACGGCGGUGUUUGGCACCUCGAUGUCGGCUCAUCACAUCCUGGGGCUGAAGUAGGUCCCAAGGGUAUGGCUGUUCGCCAUUUAAAGUGGUACGCGAGCUGGGUUUAGAACGUCGUGAGACAGUUCGCAUUCCUAUCUGCCGUGGGCGCUGGAGAACUGAGGGGGGCUGCUCCUAGUACGAGAGGACCGGAGUGGACGCAUCACUGGUGUUCGGGUUGUCAUGCCAAUGGCACUGCCCGGUAGCUAAAUGCGGAAGAGAUAAGUGCUGAAAGCAUCUAAGCACGAAACUUGCCCCGAGAUGAGUUCUCCCUGAGACUUAAAGUCUCCUGAAGGAACGUUGAAGACGACGACGUUGAUAGGCCGGGUGUGUAAGCGCAGCGAUGCGUUGAGCUAACCGGUACUAAUGAACCGUGAGGCUUAACCUU
rnacentral:rRNA from 1 species